GUGAACCUGCGGAGGAUCAUUA
rnacentral:rRNA from 4 species